AUUGAACGCUGGCGGCAGGCCUAACACAUGCAAGUCGAACGGUAACAGGAAGAAGCUUGCUUCUUUGCUGACGAGUGGCGGACGGGUGAGUAAUGUCUGGGAAACUGCCUGAUGGAGGGGGAUAACUACUGGAAACGGUAGCUAAUACCGCAUAACGUCGCAAGCCCAAAAAGGGUGACCUUCUGGCCUCUUGCCAUCGGAUGUGCCCAGAUGGGAUUAGCUAGUAGGUUGGGUAACGGCUCACCUAGGCGACGAUCCCUAGCUGGUCUGAGAGGAUGACCAGCCACACUGGAACUGAGACACGGUCCAGACUCCUACGGGAGGCAGCAGUGGGGAAUAUUGCACAAUGGGCGCAAGCCUGAUGCAGCCAUGCCGCGUGUAUGAAGAAGGACUUCGGGUUGUAAAGUACUUUCAGCGGGGAGGAAGGGAGUAAAGUUAAUACCUUUGCUCAUUGACGUUACCCGCAGAAGAAGCACCGGCUAACUCCGUG
rnacentral:rRNA from 1 species